rnacentral:misc_RNA from 1 species
AUCAAAUUAUAAUCAAUUCAUUUUAAUUCGGACUUAAAUAAGUGAUUAUAUUACUUUAUACAUCAAAAUGACUAGUCGAUUUAAUGUUGCAACUCAACCACUUAUAUAUUACCCUUUUACUUCAUAUCUUUUUGAUGUGGGAUUCCUAACACUCCCCCCUCAAGUGCAAUCACAUAAUUAUUACUUGACAAUUAGUUAGUAUUUUAACCCAAUACGGGUCCAAUUAUACAGCUUUAUGGGCGGCUAAAACCCACAAUUCAGUCCGGACUCUGACACCAGUUUGUUACAUAGCAAAAUCUCAAAACACCAUAACACCA